rnacentral:rRNA from 1 species
UUUAUGGAGAGUUUGAUCCUGGCUCAGGAUGAACGCUGGCGGCGCGCCUAAUACAUGCAAGUCGAGCGAACGGACGAGAAGCUUGCUUCUCUGAUGUUAGCGGCGGACGGGUGAGUAACACGUGGAUAACCUACCUAUAAGACUGGGAUAACUUCGGGAAACCGGAGCUAAU